ensembl:lncRNA
CUCCCCCUACAGUUGUUUUCUCUCUCGUCAACACCAGUAUGCUGGCAAUCUAGUUUCAGACGUUUUUUAUUUUUUAACAUAAUUACAGUAAUGGGAGGAAAAUUGAGGGGAGGGCUUUAGGAUUUGUGUGACAGUUCAACAGCGCAAUCUCCGUAAAGGGCAGUCAGACGGCUGGGGGCAAACAAAAUCGUAGAACUGGUUCUCGUAAAAGCUCGCAAGGGGGUGUCAAAUACGGACAUUGCCUGCCUGCCCCCCGGGAAUAUAGCAUUUACUGAUGAUGUUGGUGUCUUUGAAGAGUUUCUAUGCGAAGUGAACGAGUGCCAGACUUCGUGGGGAAAUGUCCAGACCGCAGCUCUUCACGUGAGACACAUCCAGAUUUGGGGUAACAUCUCCCAAUUGUCACGCCCAGCUGUUCAGACCAGAGAUGGAUCAAGAGCUCAACCUCUGCCACUAUUUCUGCAGAGAACAGACAGUGGACUAAACUCCAGGGAUGUAUGGGGAUACAGGCGAGACUGGCAACUACAGACAGUUCCAGGCUGGACCUGUCUGUCCCCCCUCUCUCUCUCUCUCUCCUCUAUCCUCAUCUAUCUGUCCCCACCACUGCUUGUAGACGACGAUGAUAUCUGUCAAGUCGUGUCCUGUUAUUUUCAUAACUAGGGAUCGAACAGAACAUAUGUCAGCUAGUUGGUGGAAUCAUCCCCAGAAUUGGUUCCAUUUGCAUUUAAAGUUAUUCACAGACAUCUCGGUAGGUUUUUUCCCCUCCUGAAAUGGAGGAUCUCUGUUCUACUGCCUUUUAGUAACCCAAUAAUCACCCUUUUGUCUGAACCAAGCAAUUUACCAUUAUAAUGAACAAAGUGUAGGUCUAGUUUCAGAUGUGCUGUGGACAGUGAGUUUGUUGUUGUUCUGAAAAGCCUCGUUCCCAACCUUCAACAAUGGAGUAAAACAUAGUAGAUGUUCCAAACUGUAUCAAAGAUCUUGUCGCCUCCUAAUGUCGCAUGUCAGACUUUACUGCUACAGAGUUGGUUUGUUCUAAUAUAUUGUACCAGACCUUGACUGAAAACCUACAGGACAGUAGAUCCCCAGGAAGAGGGUUGGGCUGAAAACCUACAGGACAGUAGAUCUCCAGGAAGAGGGUUGGACUGAAAACCUACAGGACAGUAGAUCUCCAGGAAGAGGGUUGGACUGAAAACCUACAGGACAGUAGAUCUCCAGGAAGAGGGUUGGACUGAAAACCUACAGGACCA